rnacentral:lncRNA from 1 species
CUUUCCAAUGCAUUUUGAAUCAUCUCAAUCGGAUAUCGGAAAAGAAAAUUAUGAUGAAAAUACUGACGAUUGCUCAGCUGUCGCUAGCUACUCGCUCGAGCGACAAUUGUAUCCAGCCAAACCCUAGGUCGCGAUUUGAAGAUUCCAAGGCACAAUUCGUUGGUGAAUCCAUCAAAUUCAUUUUUGUGAUCCAACAACCAAGUUUUGGAAAAAACAUUACAUCUUUGUAAUCCAAAACACCUGGCUUCCUUAAUUCAUGGAGGAAGAGACUCUCUCAUUGGGAAUUGAGAGAUGUGAACUUCAAGCAUAGGAAAAGAACCAGAACAGGAAGUUCUUGGGAAUUUAACUUGAAAGAAGCAAUCAGUUUAAGAUCAGGAGACUGGAAAAGAUGACAGAUCUUAUGGGUUGCAGAGGUAGAUCGGGAAGUCUAGUGGAGUGGCUAGACAGUAUCUACGACAGUAUAUCGUGAGAUUGGAAGAUUGACAACGAGUCUUAGAGAUUGUAGAAAUUACUAUAGCUGAAACUAGAGAGAGUAGCUAGACUGAAAUCACACUGUAAUCCUAAUUGACUAUAGUGGAGGUAACUGAAAAGGUCCAGGAGUUUUUCUCACGUUGGGUUUCUCUAUCAACAGAUCUUGUGUUUUUACUACUUUCUAUAUUAUUAUUGCGGUAUUUAAACUUAAGAAAAUUGGAUUGUAUAUUUAAUCAUCUAGAAACUAAUUAAAAGUGAUUUGUUGUUUUAAUUAGUUAAUUCCGCACGUAAGGUCGAAUUAAUAAAUUAUCUAGAAUGUAAACUUUAUAAUUUUAAAAGUUGAAAUUAUGUGUAGCGUCCCAGACUCGAAGUUCAAUGUGCAAUUAUAAGGUGAAGGCUCACUUUUAUGCUAAUAAUUUCAUUUCUUAUGAUAUUGAAAGAGAGAAUACAUUUUAAGAUACUGAAGACAUAUUUAAGCCUUGUUUGAGUCCCAUUCUUUUGGAAAAAUAUAUUUUUCAACAAUGUUUUGACAUCAUUCCAAUCACAUAUUCUUUAAUAAAAUAAUAUUACACGUAAAUCCAAAAUUUUUUCUUAUUUUUUAACCACACAUUUUCCAUCAAUACACUAUUCAAAAAUUCAUUCUUCCCAAAAAAAUGGGGCUCAAACAAGGGUUUAGUGUUUUGUACUGGACAUGAUUGGAAAUUUAUAUCAAACUUGUCUUGAAUUUAUAAUGCAGUGUUUUCUUUCUAAUGGAAAUUUGAAUAUAAUCAAACAGAGAAGACAAAAGAAAAGGGGUUAAACCAUCUUCUAAUUUCCUACUUACAAAUUAGCUUUUAAGAGACCUGAGUGGAAGAAUAAUAAAUUUCCUCUUUAAUCCUUGAAUUAUAUUAGAGCUGCUUAUGAAACUUUAUGGGAGUAGGCACUUGUGACUGUCAUUUCUUGGGAAAGUUUAAGUAUAGGAAUCUUGUCAUCUUAUCUUAAUUUAAAAUUUCUUAAAACUACGAUUGGGGAAUGAAUUGUGACAUUUUAAUAUCAUGGGAUAUAACCAUUUAUUUCGAACAGUUUUUCUAUUUGCAUAGAAAUGAUUUCACAUAAACAAUACAGAAUACUCGCAUAGAGGUAGAUCACACAUGAAUAAAAUAGUGGAAAAAAACCUCUCCUCUGUACACACAACACUGUUCUCUCUCGAAAGGGAUAAAUUUAUUUUCAUAAUUUUUGACCGAUAUGCAUACUAAUAAUUUCACUUCUUAUCCUAGUUAUUUGUUAAACUUGUAUUAAUCCAGUGAUUUCUUUUUUAAAGAGAUGCACAAAAUUACUUCAUAUCGAAAUCUCAUCUGAUGCUCCUAAUUAAUCAUACUUCCUAUCCUAAAGAAAAAUGUAGAGGUUCUAAGAAAGGUAAGUCAACUUGACUGCUAUUAUUUAUUUUCCAUUUUUCUAAAUAUUUAAAAUGCUUUCUCAAAGAAUUUUACCUAAUAAUGUAGCAAAGAAACAACAUCACAAAAUGAAAACUCGGAGACAAAAGAUAGCCACCUAAUUUGACAAACUUCAUUUCCAUAAGCCCUUUUGAGCUUUAUUUCUCAAAAAAUUAUUUUCAANNNN